rnacentral:lncRNA from 1 species
UAUCACUCUCCACCACCACCCAAGAAGGUUUACUAUCCACCACCAGUUUACUCUCCACCACCACCAAAGAAGGUGUAUUACCCACCUCCUGUCUACAAGUCUCCUCCGCCACCCAAGAAGGUUUAUUACCCACCUCCCGUCUACAAGUCUCCUCCGCCACCUAAGAAGGUGUACCCACCUCCCGUCUACAAGUCUCCCCCGCCCCAAGAAGGUGUACUACCCACCUCCCGUCUACAAGUCUCCCCCACCUCCCAAGAAGGUGUACUACCCACCUCCGUCUACAAGUCUCCCCCACCUCCCAAGAAGGUAUACUACCUCCUCCCGUCUAUAAGUCUCCUCCACCACCAAAGAAGGUAUACUACCCACCUCCAGUCUACAAGUCUCCCCCACCUCCCAAGAAGGUAUACUAUCCACCACGUCUAUAAGUCUCCUCCACCACCAAAGAAAGUAUACUACCCACCACCAGUCUACUCACCACCACCGCCAAAGAAGGUAUACUACCCACCUCCCGUCUACUCACCACCACCACCGAAGAAGGUGUACUACCCACCUCCCGUCUACUCACCACCACCACCGAAGAAGGUGUACUACCCACCUCCCGUCUACUCACCACCACCACCGAAGAAGUAUACUACCCACCCCCGUCUACUCACCACCACCACCGAAGAAGGUAUACUACCCACCACCCGUCUACUCUCCACCACCACCGAAGAAGGUAUACUACCCACCACCCGUCUACUCUCCACCACCACCGAAGAAGGUAUACUACCACCACCCGUCUACUCUCCACCACCACCGAAGAAGGUAUACUACCCUCCUCCCGUCUACUCUCCACCACCACCAAAGAAAGUAUACUAUCCACCUCCCGUCUACUCUCCACCACCACCAGUAUACCACUCCCCCACCUCCGGUCUAUCAUUCUCCACCACCACCAGUAUACCAUUCCCCACCACCUCCCGUUUAUUACUACUCAUCGCCACCGCCAC